rnacentral:lncRNA from 1 species
AAAUACAAAAAAUUAGCCGGGCGUGGUGGCGGGCGCCUGUAGUCCCAGCUACUUGGGAGGCUAAGGCAGAAUGGCGUGAACCCAGGAGGUGGAGCUUGCAGUGAGCCGAGAUCGCGCCACUACACUCCAGCCUGGGCGACAGAAUGAGACUCCUUCUCAAAAUAAAAAUAAAAAUAAAGUAACCCUUGGGCCUGUUAGGUCUUUUGCACCUAACACUGGUGAUACUAGUCCUUGCAACCUCACAUGCUACCAGGUAGGUGGUCCUAGUCCCGUUUUCCUGAUGAGGCAGCUGAGGGUGAAGGAGGAUCAACAAGUUGACCAAAGUCUCACAUCCACUCGGGGAUCUGGGAUUUGAACCCUGCUCUCUGACCCCAGCGCUCCGGAUUUCCACUGCACAGUGCCUCUCCGUGCAGAUCAAGGCAAACCCCAACCGACCUGGCGUGCCCUGCUCUGCCUCGCCAGCAGCCCCAGCUACCACGGAAGACACUGGAAAGCUGCUGGCCAGUGGGUGUCUCCACAGGCAGAGGCUGACUUCCUAGCUAGACACCAGAGCAGAUCCCACCUCUUCCCCAGUGGCUGCCCUUUGGGGCCACUUCUCUGGACAUGCCUAGUUUAGAACUCCGCAGGGGUAUGUCUCAUUGCAUUGAGACCCUGCUUUGUCCCCAGUGGCACUGCUCAGCCUGCCAGUGGGGCCCACAGUGAGCGUUGGUGCCCCUCAGAGAAGGAAGGCUUCCUCUGGGAGGUGAAUGCCAGCCUUGGAAGGGCAGGAAGGAGGGUGCACAUCUUGAACACCAGCAGCAUCCACACGUACCAGCUAGUUUAAGCUGCUGCACGGCGCCUGUGCUUGCAGGUAUUGUUAGCCCAUUUUAGAGAUGAUGAUACCAAGGCCUGUGGAGGUUACGUGAUCAGCCAGCCUCACACAGCUAUUAGGAGGCAGGCCUGGGACUCAGAGCCAGUGUGUUCCCCACUGUGCUGGGUGGCCCUGCCUCUGCAGGUCACUUGGGACAUUGGCAAAUCAGGAUGACCUUGCUUGCUUAGGAACUUCUGAACCCAGCCCAGAGUAACCUUAGCCAAGUGUCCAGCACAGAGGUACUGGAUCAGAUGGUGCGUUUGUGGCCAGGACAGAUGUGGGCUGUGUCAUGAAUCCUUGUUGCCAGACAGCAAUUCUGACUGCACCUGCUGAGCCCCAGCACGGCCUGUCUCAGGGUGACUGAGGCACAGCUGCCCUUGACCCCCUCGCAGUCCAGGGGUUAUAGUUCAUGGUGCCCUGGAAAGUCACCGGGCAUGAGCUGGGCUUGCACUAGGCCAGCGGGACAUUGGAAGUCAGAGCUGAGGUAUGGCAGCUGGGGAAGCCAGGGCAGGCUCCUGGGAGAGGGGCAUAUUCCUGCUGGGCAUCAAAGGAAGGGUAGAAUGGUUGGCGACUGCAUGUGCUAGCCUGGGAGCUCCCUGAGGACAUGCCUGUCUGAUUUGCCCCACGGCCUCAGUGCCCAGCCUAGCACCUGGCACAGAGCGGCCAUCAGUGAGUCAGUUCAUCAGGAGGGGAGAACAGCCUGGCUCCCAUGAGAGCUGUGAGAAAGGGCAGCCCUGGCUCAGCAGGCAGUGCUGGAGUCCCUGCAGCCUGGGAGUCCACUUUGCCUGCUGUCAGACCCUUCCUGUGACAGCUCCCCAGUGUGCACCGGGUGCACUGGGCUUAGGCACUCUGGGUCUCCGUCACACACAGCCGAUGGCAUGGCAUGCCCAGCCUGGUUUGGUAAAACGUUGUGUGGUCCACCUUCUGCCCCAACCAAGAUCUUGGUUUUCAUGCUGUCUUCAAAGUGAGAUUCUAGAAUGUUAGUGCUGGGAGAGCCCCUGAUGGUUCCCCAGCCCACGCACUGAGCUUAUAAUGGGGAGUUGAGACCUGCAGAGGGCACAGGACUUGCCCGGGACUCACAGGCAGUUAAGAGAGCUGGGAUCUGAGCUGUAUUUUCCACCGACUCCAUGCCCAGUCCUCCAUCCACCUGGAGUAAAGGAGAGAGAAGUCCCUCCCACUCUUGCUAGAAGGGGGCCAUGUGCUUGCGGGGAACUGGAUGUGAUGUUGGUAAGAAGAGGCUGGAGAAAGGACCUUGGUGGAUUCUUGAGCAUGUAAUGAGCACCAGCUCAUCAUCCGUCUCUCCACUGUCCCCCUCAAGGACGCUGAAGUCUCAUCUGCAGCUCAGGCUGCUGGCCAGACACCUAGAAGAGGGGGCAUGGAGCUGCAGUUCCGAGUGCAGCCUCUGGGGCCACAGCAGUCAGGACUGGCUUUCAAUCCCAGACGGCCGAUUUUUAGCCGCAGAAACAACUUAGUAGCCUGUAUCUCAGUCUCCUCACCUGUUAAAUAGGAUAAAGGUGCAGUCCAAACAGGGGCUGCUUUGCAGGGCGGGGGGAGGUCAGAUGGGGGUGGGGAAGACCAGUUUCUCCCCAGGGGUAAGGCCCACCCAGGGUAGCCAAGGUGGGGAGGAGACAAGUUGUGUCCUACCAGCUCCCCUGAUGCACCCAGGUGCACACUCAGGCCCCGCCAUGUUGAGACCACCACAUUAUGCCCUCAGGAAAAACUCAACAAACUCUACUGUCUAGUGAGGAAAGCGUUGCAGUCUAGCUGUUUCCAGUAGGAAGGGAUUUAGUGAAGAGCACCAGAUCACAAAAGCCCUGGCAGGGCGAGGGUGCAGGUGGUCCCUGCAGGGGCUCAGGGAUCUGGCGGCUGCUGCUCCUGUAGGUCCCAGUGGCUGCAUCCCGGGGCUUAGCUGGCCAGAAGCUGCUGGCAAGGGAAGUUGGGAAGAGGUGGUUUGCAGGCAUCAGCCCUUGCGGCUCAGGAGGGCACAAGGAAGGGAAGGGAAAUGGUGCUGAGAUGCAGCAGACCCCCUGGCACCCCACCACCCCGACACUGUUGGGGGGCAGGGAGGGUAAAAGGAGCUGAGGGAGGUUAGCCCAGAGAAAACCUGGCUGCCACACCUAUGUCGGGAGCUAUGCCGAGGCUUUGCACACAUUAUGUAAUCCUUAGGACAGCCACGUGAGGCCACGAACUGACCUGAUCGAGAUGUGAAAAGCUAGGACAGCACCCCAGGGCUAUUUCACACAGGCGGGGCCUGCUCCUGCCUCUCCCUGAGCCAGGCUCAUUCAUCCAAUGCCCAGCGAUUGAGUGCCCACCACAUGCCAGGAUGCAUGCCAGGCGUCUGGAACAUGGCAGCAAACAAAACAGCAGAAAUCCCCAUCCUCAUGGAGCUGACGCUCCCCCAAAUAUGUAUAAAUAUUUGUAAAUACAUAAAAAUAGGUGUGGUGUAAGCACUCCAAAGGAAAAAGGGCAGGGGAGGGGAUGGGGAGUGGCCUGGCUGGCAGCGCUGCUGCACCUGGGGUGGUCGGAGUUGGACAGAGUGCUGGAGGAGGUAGGGAGGCCCCAGAGAAAGGGCACCUGAGAGGGCAAAGAGCAAGCGCAAAGCCCCAGGAUUGCAGUUUGGAAUGUGCCAAGGGCAGGAGGAAGUCUGAGGCUGGAGAGGAGGGAGGAAGGAGGUGGACUGGGAAAUGGGCUCAGAGCAGGUGCAGGCCUGGACCACAGGGCGGUGGCAAGGCUCAGACCUGCUGUGCAGGGCUCAGUGUGGGGUCUCGAGGACACAAAGGCUGCACAGCCAGGGGCAAUGCAGAGACUGAGGCUGUAGGAUACUGAGGCUGUCAUCCAGGGUCAAGCCCAAGAGAGAGCAACCUCGGGGCUUGCAAGCAGGCAGAUGGAAGGUAGAAAAGGCAACCCCAUGUCCUCCUGCUCUGUUGUCCGAGCGGGGGGCUUCCAGGUUGAAGAAAAGGAUGUGUGCAUGGCCAGCUGCCUGGGUUUGGUGGUGGUCCCAAAUCUGUGUGUCGGGAGCCCUGUGGGUGUCUGUGGGCCUCUGGCAGUAGCCUGAGUCAGAGAUUGGUGUAUCCCCAUGUGAUGUGGAGGGCUGGUGUCUCUUGGUCCCUGCCAGCCGAGCAAGAGGCUGAUGCAGCGAAUGUUCUGGGCAUGCUAUAUCAUUUCUCUGGGUGUGCAUGAGUGAGCCUGUGUUGGCUCCGUGGGCCUGUAUGUGCCAGGAGCGUGUAGACCUGAAGGUCUGUACAUGAGUCAAGGGUGAGAGGCCUGUGUGUUUCCUUGUGCGUCUGUGGGUUCCUGCUUGUCUGUAGUGGGCAGCAGUGAGGGGUGUCUUUGACUUUGGCCUGUCAUUGUCUGUUUCAUGCUCACUUGACAUUCCACAGCUCAGCUCUAGUUCUUGGAACGAAUGGAAACAGCACCCAGGACCCAGUAGGACUGGCCUGUGCUUCUUGGGUACUUGGGUUCAGGGUCUCCUCCCCAAGGGUCUCUGACAGCUGAGGUAGGGACGACUCACCGUCCUGGUCCCCAAAUGCAGUGCUUUAAAUCAGAGACCCUUUCUUCAGGCCGCAAGGCUGGACCAGGGCUCUCACUACCCGGGUGGGAAGACUGUAUGAUGUUUGGGCCUUGCCAGCCCCAAGGAAGGGUCAGAUCUCUAAACCUGGGGGCCUCCUGGGAAAGCCAGGACUCCAGCACUGUGGAAAGAGCAUGGAGGUAGAAGUCAAAAGGACCUGGGUUCAAAUCCCACUUUUGCCCAGGCAUAGGGGCUCAUGCCUGUAAUCCAAGCACUUUGGAAGGCUGAGGCAGGUGAAUCACUAGAGUCCGGAAAUUUGAGACCAGCAUGAGCAACCUGGAGAAACCUUGUCUCUACUAAAAAAAAAAAAAAAAAAAAAAAAAACCAGCUGCGCAUGGUGGCAUGCAUCUGUAGUCCCAGCUACUCAGGAGACUGAGGUGGGAAGAUCACUUGAGCCUGGAAAGUCAAGGCUGUAGUGAGCUGUGAUUGCACCACUGUACUCCAGCCUCGGCCACAGAAUGAGACCCUGUCUUACAAAAACCAACAAACAAACAAACAAAAAUCUCACUUUGUCAUUUCCUAGUUCAAAAACCUUAGUCAAAUGGCUGCUCCGUUUCCUUAUCUGUAGAGGCGGGACCGGCGUCUUGGGCCUACUGUGGAGAUUAAAUGAGCACUGAGUAUGUGCCCAGCCCUGGGCUAAGAGCUUUACACGAACAACCCCAUGGGCUUCUCACAAUAACUCUCUGGAAUGGGUACAGGCCCCAUUUUGCAGAAGAGGAAACUGAGGCCCAGAGAGGUGGCAUGACUUGCCCAUGGUCACUCAGCUGGGAACUAGUAGAGCCAGGAUUUGAACCAGGCAGUCUGACUUCAAAAGCAGCAGCAUGAGGCUGGGUGUGGUGGCUCACGCCUGUAAUCCCAGCACUUUGGGAGGCCAAGGUGAGCGGAUCAGUUGAGGUCAGGAGUUUGAGACCAGCCUGGCCAACGUGGUGAAACCCCAUCUCUAUUUAAAAAAAAAAAAAAAAAAUUAGCCGGGCAUGGUGGCAUGUGCCUGUAAUCCCAGCUACUCGGGAGGCCGAAGCAGGAAGAUUACUUGAAUUCGGGAGGCAGAGGUUGCAGUGAGCCAAGAUCGUGCCACUGCACUCCAGCCUGGGCAACAGAGUGAGACUCCUCAGAAAAAACAAAAGUAGGCCAGACGUGGUGGCUCACGCCUGUAAUUCCAGCACUUUGGGAGGUGAAAGCAGGUGGAUCGCUUGAGGUCGGGAGUUCAAGACCAGCCUAACCAACAUGGAGAAACCACAUCUCUACUAAAAAUACAAAAUAAGCCAGGUGUGGUGGCACAUGCCUGUAAUCGCAGCUACUGGGGAGGCUGAGGCAGGAGAAUCACUUGAAACCAGAAGGCGGAGGUUGCAGUGAGCCGAGACCGUGCCACUGCGCUCCAGCCUGGUCAACAAGAGUGAAACUCCAUCUCAAAAAAACAAAAAACAAAAUAAAACAAAAUAAAAACAAAAGUAGCAGUAUGAGACAGUGAAAGGAAAGCAAAGCGCCUGGCUUUGGGUGCCCGGCCAGUGGUGGCUGUUACUACUGAGGCUCAGAGAGAUGAAGCAACUUGCCACAGGCCACACAGCCAGGAAGGAACGGGGCCAAGAUUCAAGGCCAAUCCUAACCCAACAGACCAUCCACUUUAUCUUUCACAGGGGCUCUCUCCCACCCCGUCCGGCCUGCCCUUCAGUGGAAACUGAGAUGGGGCCCAGAUUUGGGGUGGGACUUAGCUAAGGUCACACAGAAGGAGGCUGCCCCUCCUGAUGUGGAGGUGGCAGCAUGGUGCCAUCAGGCAGAGGCACUAGGAGUGGCCUGAGACACAGACCCAAGGAGGAGCCAGCAGUGGGGUUCAGGCCUGCACCUGCUGUCUCUAAGAGCAGAGGAGCUUCUGCCUGGUGCAGGGAGCCUGGGGCGGCUCCACAUGGGAAGGCCUUGGCCGGGCUGUGGAUGUCCAGCCAGUGGUUCCCUCCCGUGGCGAUGUUCCUGUGAGCGUGGCAGUCCGUCCUAGCCCCACUUAGUCACCCCAGGCAGCAGAGACCCUGUGCCAUCCCCGCAUCCACCUCCUGAGAAAGAUCGGGAGGAAGCAUGUCCUGAACGCUGCUUUAUUGCAAUAAAUUUGUGGAAUCAGCUCAUUACAUUUAAUUAGAAUUAUUUAAUUAGAAUCUUAAUAAAAGAGUAGAGCAGGAAGGAGGCUGAUGAACGGAGCUGAGGAGAGCCUUGCUGAGCGUGAGGAGCAGACCCAGCUGGGAGGUGGAGUGGGGGAGGGGCUGCCAGGAUGCGAGCCUGGAUGGCUAGGCAGAGGGGACGUGCCAGGACCACCAGGACCUGGGCUGGGCUUUCCCUGACCUGUUCCUUACCAGGUGGCCCUGUGGGCAGGUCCUGGGCUGGUUUCCUGCCCUCAAGGAACUCGAGGUUCAUGCAGGGAACAGACGAGGAGCCAGACAGUUGCCACGCCCAGUGCAGGAGGCAGAGUCACAUGCCAGCCAGAGAUGAGCGUCGAGCCUGGUGUGCGGUUAGGAAGGCUUUCUACAGCAGGGAGGCCUGCGGUGAGACCUCACUGUGUUGAAGUUAGACGAGGAGGGGAAGGGCUCAAAGCAGGUGUGAGGGAAGGCGGAGCAUUUGAGGCACCUGGCGGGGACAAGACAGGGUGCAUAGCAGAGGCCUGGCGCCGGGUGGCUGGCUCAGGUCCCAGCAUCACCGUGAGUUGGCUCUGGCAAGUGACCUGGGCAGGUUAUGCCACCCUCGGCGCCUCAUCUUCCCCAUCUGUAAAUGGGGGUGAUAGUGGGGCUCUUGUGUGGAUGAGAGGAGCUGCAGAGAGCACUUGGAACAGUGCCUGGCCCGCGUCAGUGCGUGUGCACCAGCUAUUGGGACUGUUGUUAGGAUUGUCGCAGUGGAGGUCUCCAGCAGGUCAUCAGUUACACAGGUCGGGAGCUCAGGGGGCAUCUGGGCUGGGGAUGUAGCUCUGUCAUCAGUGAAGCGGCAGGUGUGGGUGAGCCCCCCACCUCCAUUUGCUCUUUCCUCAUUCCCUGAAAAAGACAGUUUUGUUCAGAGAUCUCACCCCAACAGGGCUCUGGCUCUUCAGGGAACACUGGGAGAGUUAUUUCCUCUCUCUCUCUCUGUCUCUCUCUCCUCAGCACACAAAGAAGCGGGUGACCGUUGACUAAAGACAAAAAUCAAGCUUUUAAAGCGUUAAAAUUAGUUUUAUACAGAAGUCUUGCUGAUGACUGUAGACAGAGGCCUAUGGCCCGCAAGCAGCCCUCCAGAGAGGGUUUGUCAGACAACUCCGGCACAGCAUUUGAGCCCACUGCUGAUAUGCAGCUGGUGGAGGUUCGGUAGUGCAAAAUCACAUUGAAAUUUGGGUGCAGGAGUCCAUCUGGUGAUAGAUUACAGAGGCAUCAUCACUAACCCCGUUAGACAUCAUUACCUUAUGUGUAGGAAAAGGCAAGGACUAGGAUCGUUUGUCUUUUUUUUUUUUUUUUUUCUUAAGACAAGGUCUCACUCUGUUGCCCAGGCUGGAGUGCAGUGCCGUGGUGUGAUCAUGGCUCACUGCAGCCUCAACCUCCCCGGCCCAAGCGAUCCUUCCACCUCAGCCUGUUGAAUAGCUGGGACUACAGACACACAUGCCACUGCACCUGGAUAAUUUAUAUAUUUUUUGUAGAGAUGAGGUUUCACCGUGUUGCCCAGGCUGGUCUCAGACUCCUGAGACUCAAUCAAUCCAUCCACCUUGGCCUCCCAAAGUGCUGGGAUUACAGGUGUGAACCACUGUGCCUGGUGUGGGGCCAUUUAUCUUUUAAAGAAUAUAGUGACUCAGGCGAGAGACGUGAGGGUUUUGUCUUUAAAGCAUCUUUCUGGAGAGCUGUACAAUGUCACAGAAUCAGGGGCUUGUGAAAUUAUGCUGGCAUGCAGAAAUGAGAAACAUGGCUUCUUAAAUUUGUUACUUUGUCUUAUGUGACCCAUGCUACGCCUUCAGAGGACCAGAUCUGGGAUGACACUAACAGUAUGCAGUGUGCCACCUCUCCGUGUGUUGUUUAAAGCCUUGACUUGUAGCGCUUGUCGAUUUCCUAGUGUAAAUAUGGCCACCAUGGCCAAUGUCAGGCUACCAACAUGACAUCACUUAACCUGGAGUUAAGAUGCACACAGUCUGUUCUUGCAAGGCAGAAAGACCCAGCUCCAGCACCCCACUCGGUGAGGCCAGCCCUGAGAACAGCAGAGCUGGGAGUGAAAAGCACCUGCACACACAUCUGCACCAGGAUCCGCCUCCACGUGCGCAGCUUUCUGUUACUUGGGGCCAAAUGCGUCCCACACCCUGCAGGGCUGCAGGGCAAGAAGAGAAGAAAACCCAGGAGCAGCCCAGAGGAACUGAUAGGAUUUAUGCAGCAGGCAGAGGAAGAGGAGGCCGCGAGCUCAGCUGCCACUGUCACGUGGUGAUGCUAAGGGUCAGAUUUUACAUUUGGUUUUUCACAGACUUAAUCCUGCUGCCAUCAAAGAUAAGAGAAUUGUUUUCAGCACAGUUAUAGAAAGUUCCUAGGCUCCAGUCCAUGCCUUGAGCCAAGAAUGUAGGGAUUUAAGCUUGUUAUUCUUUUUCCUUGAAUCGCCCAGUGCCACAGAAGCAGCUACCCCAUCUCUGAAAUCUUCGUGCCAUUCAUGUGUUCAAUAGCAGUGUCGACUCAGACCCUCGAAGCUCUGCCUUCAAUGGCGCUUUUUUCCCAGAUGGCCACAGGCCAUAAUUUAAUUAAUUAAUAUAACUUAAUUAGCUGUUUCACCACUACAUACCACAGCUGCUAGAUUCUCAUCCCUGAACGCUAACUGGAUUUUCCCUUCCUUCAGCUCUGACUAGACCAGAUCAUCAUUUCCCCGAGGGUAUGGAGCUCGAAACCCACCCCCUCCAACCAAUUUCCAAACCCGCCAGGUUUCUGAGUUGAAAACAAUGGAAACUGACCCUCGCUAAUUUAAGCAGAAAGGAACUUAUUGGAAAGACACCAAGGAGCUCAGGCAAUCGGCUGGAGAAGUGGGCUCAGAGAGAGAACAGCUGUCGAGGGAGGCUGGCAGUCAGGACACAGGCAGGGUGCCCCUACAGAAGAUGUCUGCUUCUGUCUGUUCUGUCUCUUCUCCGCAGAUUCAGGGUAGGCUCCUGGUGGAUGGAGUCGGUGUCAUGCCUGCUCCUAGCUGACUAGGCUGAACAUCAGCUUCUGCACGGGAAGGCAGAGCUGUCUCCUGUAAGGUUCACUAGGCUCGAGGCCGGGCGCAGUGGCUCCUGCCUGUAAUCCCAGCACUCUGGGAGGCUAAGGAGCACCACUGCACUCCAGCCUGGGUAACAGAAUGUCUCUAAAACAAAAAAAUUAAAUUAAAAAGGGGGUUUAAAUGCUGAGCGAGAAAAAAACAAAACAAAACCAAAAGCUAGAAAUUAUUCACCUUGGCUAGACACUGUGCUAACAUUUUGGCUUCAUUAUCUCAAUUUAAUCUUUACAAUUAUUAUUAUUUUUGAGACAGGGUCUCACAUUGCCCAGGCUGGAGUGCGGUGGCACAAUCACAGCUCAUUGCAGCCUUGACAUUUCUGGGAUCAGGUGAUCCUCCCUCCUCAGCCUCCCAAGUAGCUGGGACCACAAGUGUGAGCCACCAUACCUGGCUAACUUUUUAAUUUUUUUUGUAGAGAUGGAGCCUCACUACAUUGCCCGGGCUGGUCUCGAACUCUCGGUCUCAAGCAGUCCUCCUGCCUUGGCCUUCCAAAGUGCUGGAUUACAGGUGUGAGCCACUGCACCUGGCCCACAAUUAUCUUUCAAGAGGUGUUGCUUUUAUCAACCCCAUUUUAUAGAUGGGGACCAGGCUCUGAGUUUCUUCAUCAGUAGUAACCCCAGGCUUUGGGGUACUGUGAGAACCCGGCAGGACACCAUGAAUCCUGGAAGGCUCAGAACCAGGCUCUGGAGGAGUUUCCCUAAAUUUAGGCCAGCCUUAGUCUGUUGGCCUUAGCAAAAGCAGGAAGAGCCUGUCUAGACUGAGUACUUCCUAAUUCUAGAUGUUACUGCCAUUGGCCUGCUUGGGGGCCAGUCCUGGACCAAGAGGGUGCCGUGCUGGGCUGGAGAGCUUCUCACCAAAAGCAAAUGGGGUGUGAGGAACAUGUGUUCUCUGCCGGGCCUCAGCACAUGGGCAUUCUGUCGUGAUGCCUGCUGUAGCCAGCAGCCUGGGGCGGGGGCACUGCUGAGUAAACUAGGAGGGCAGCUGAAUUCUGAGAAGCAGAGAGGUAGGUAUGGGCCCCUGGCCUCUUGAGCCAGGGAGAGGAGAGGGUUUCUGAAAAAGAGAGAUACCAAACAGGGCCCAAGCACUGACACAGGAGACUCCUGUGAUGGUUCAGGUCUCCCCCAUCAGACCAGGAGUUGCUGAAUCCAGGGUGGUCUGUUUCCCUCUUCAGGCUGGAAGCUCUGAAGGGCAGAACUCUCGCUCCUCUGACACAUCGGGAGCUCCUGUGUGCAGGGCCCUGUCUCCCACCUCGGGCUGAGGCUUCUAACGGCAGGGCGUCUCUUCCCUCCAACUAGGGCACCUGAAGGGCUAAGUGUUCCAAGACAGCAGUGUCAGCAAAGGCUGUGCAGAUUUGAGGAGUGGGACCGGCAGAGCUGGAUGAAACCUGACUAUGCUGAAGGGGAAAUGGAGACCCCGGGAGGGGCAGGGACCUGCUGAGUGCCUCCCCCAGGCAGUAGCUGACCUGGACCGCAUCCCGGUACUCCUGCUGAGGUAGGAGGAUUUGGGGUAAGGAGACAAAGUGUGGCCUUAGGAAUACAGCCCCCAGAGCCAGGCAGGAGGGGGCAGCCCCGUAGGGCUCAGGUUCAAGCAUGAGGCUGCCAAUACUGCCCCUUGGAAGCGCCUCUGUUGUUCUGUCCUGGAUGUUUGAGUCCUUGGCCAGCUGCCUGGGCAACGGCCUCAUCCCACUGAGAUGGACAGAUGUGCACAGCUGGGGGAGGGGCUUGGUGAAAUCCAGCCCCGCCCAGCGCAGGCCUGGGCUUCCCAGGGGUGGAACUUAUCUGGGUUCUGGUCCUGAUCUCUGCCUUGGCCCUAUUGUGCAGCCCUGGGCAGUGCCAUGGCUUCCCCUUGGGCCUCAGUUUUCUUGUCUCUCAAAUAAGGGAAGCUCUUCAUUCUUUCAUCAGACAUUGACUGAGUUGGUACGUCCUUGGCCCACUGACUCCAGAUAUUUGGGGAUGCAUUAUCUGGUUCUAAGAUACUUCCCCCACUCUAUUUUAAAAUUUAUUUCAAAAAAUUAUGGUAGAAUGGUCUGGGCAUGGUGGCUCAUGCCUGUAAUCCCAGCACUUUGGGAGGCCAAGGCGGGCAGAUCACUAGAUAUGGAGAUCAAGACCAUCCUGGCGAACAUGGUGAAACCCCGUCUCUACUAAAAAUACAAAACUUAGCUGGGCAUGGUGGCAUGCACCUGUAGUCCCAGCUACUCAGGAGGCUGAGGCAGGAGAAUCGCUUGAACCUGGGAGGUAGAGGUUGCAGUGAUCCGAGAUCGUGCCACUGCACUCCAGCCUGGCGACAGAGCGAGACCCCAUCUCAAAAAAAAAAAAAAAAAAAUUACCAUUUUGACUUUUUAAAGUAUACAGUUCAAUGGCAUUACAUACACUGACAUUGUUGUACAGCCUUCCCCACUGUCUAUCUCCAGAACUUUUCAUCACCUUAGACUUGAAUCCCCAUCCUUUUAAAAAUAACAGCUUUAUUGUGAUAUAAUUCACAUAUCAUACAACUCAUUUAAAGUAUACAAUGAGCCGGGCACAGUGGCUCACAUCUGUAAUCCCAGCACUUUGGGAGGCCGAGGUGGGCGGAUUACCUGAGGUUAGAAGUUCAAGACCAGCCUGGGCAACAUGGUGAAACCUCGUCUCUACUAAAAAUACUAAAAUUAGCUAGGCGUGGUGACGCAGGCCUGUAGUCCCAGCUACUUGGGAUGCUGAGGCAGGAGAAUCACUUGAACCCGGGAGGCAGAGCUUACAGUGAGCCGAGAUCGUGCCACUGCACUCCAGCUUGGGGGACAGAGUGAGACUAUCUCAAAAAAAAAACAAAAAUUCCAUUCCACUCUCUUUUUGUUUGCAUGGUUUCUGAGAAGUUGGAUAUAAUUAUCUUUGCUCCUCUGUAGGUGAGGUGUUUUUUUUCCUUUGGCUUUUUUGGGGAUUUUUUUUUUUUUUUUGGUGGAGUCUCACUCUGUUGCCCAGGCUGGAGUGCAGUGGAGCCAUCUCAGCUCACUGCAACCUCCACCUCCCAGGUUCAAGUGAUUCUCGUGCCUCAGCCUCCCGAAUAGCUGGGAUUACAGGAGCCUGCCACCAUGCCUGGCUAAUUUUUUAUACUUUUUUAGUAGAGGUGGGGUUUCGCCAUGUUGGCCAGGCUGAUCUCGAACUUCUGACCUCAAGUGAUCUGCCCACUUCAGCCUCCCAAAGUGCUGGGAUUAUAGUCGUGAGCCACUGAGCCCAGGUUUUUUUGGGAUUAAAAAAAAUCUUUGAUAUUCUCUUGUUUGCAAAUAAUAUGCUAGGUGUAGAUUUGUUAUUGUUGUUGUAUUUAUCCUGCUUGGUAUUCUCUGAGCUUCCCGGAUCUGUAGUUUGGUGCUUGACAUAAAUUUGGAAAACUUCUGUUAUCAUUGUUUCAAAUAUUGCUUCCAUUCCUUUCUCUUUGUCAUCUCUUUCUGGUAUGCCCAUUAUAUGUAUGUUACACCUUUUGUAGUUUCCCAUCCCUAUCCAUUAAAACCCCUAUGCCAUCCUCCACCAUGUCUGUGCACUCCCAACCCCCGAGCGUUAGGCAACCAAUAAUCUGCUUUCUGUCUCUAUGAAUUUGCCUGUUCUUGACAUUUCAUAUAAAUGGAUUCCUAUGACAUGUGUGGUCUUUUGUCUGGCUUCUCUCACUCUGUGGGAUGUUUUCAAGGUUCGUCACGUUGUAGCACAUGCCAGUGCUUCGUGUCUCCCUCUCUAUUUUUAACAUCUGGCUUCUCCAGCACAGGGGCUGAGAGAACAGGGGCUCGACAGGCAAUAUCUCCUUCUUCAUCCACCCAGACUGUGCUCCUGUCUGUGGGUUGAGCCUGUCAGCUGCCAAGGUCCUCCGCGUGGCAGGUGUCUGAAUGCUGGCUCUGUGGGAACAUGUGUGUGCUCUUUGGAGGUCCUGUGGGGGCCUCAGCCUCCACAGUCACCUGAUGUGGUUAUCUGGCUCCUAGAUAACCUCUUCCAAUGCCCCCCAACCCCCUGCUCUUGCCUGCAGCAGUCCGCCCCAUGGUUCCUGUUGCUGGGGCCCCUUGUGUGGUGGGUGUCUUCUUGGUUGGGUCCCAAAAGAUGGUACAAGUUCAGUUCUUUUUUCUGUGUUCUCUGCUGGCCUCAGCAAAUGGCAGGCAUGUGGACUGCCUUAUUGCCAGCGCCUUCCACCCUGCCAUUUCUCUCCACUACUCUCUUCCCCUGCUCAGACAGGCCCAGGGACAGAACAAGUUGGCCACACCAGCAAAGGUCCCCAGGAGGGAGAUGCCAGUCUUGCCUCUCAGCAGGGACCUUCCUACCUCCAUAAUAACAUGUGAUUUUCUUGGUGCCUCUCCCACUGGGCUUGGUUGAGAGGGGUCUUGGGUGGUGGGGAAGAGGAGAGAAAAUCCACAGCUUCCAUAUGAAGCUGAAGCUUCAUAUCCCUGAAGAAUCCCUUCCCCCACAUAAAUCUAGAAGUAGAGGGAUGGGAGGGCCAGUCUUGCCUUCUCAGCAAGCCCUAGAGGGAGCAUCUGGCCCUAUUUGUUGGGGCCUGUCUUCAGGAUUUGGGGUGUUCUGCAAUUCUUUACCCUGGCUCUGGACCCCAGCUGUCAAUUCUGGGGCAAAUGGAAAAGUUCCUGCUGCUAUCCUGUUCCACCUAUAACCCCAGCCUCAUGUUACAGUCCUGGCAAGUGCUACAAAGGGCAGGGCAGAGAAUGUUCUGAUCUCAUCUGGGGGUGCUCUGAGGAAGUGAUUUUUGUAGGUCAGACCAGGUCAAAAGAAUGGCAUGUCCCAAGGUCCCAAAGCAAGAAGCAGUGUGGCACAUGGGGAGAUGGGAAGACUGGUGGGUGUGGGGUGGUGAGACUGAGGGCAGAGCGGUGAGAGUUGAAGCUGGCGGUGGCGACAGUGGCAACAGCAACAUUUAUAGAUCAUUUCUGUUUAUGCAUUUCUUAUUUAAUAAUCACAAAAGAGGAAGUAGCUCUGAUUAUCUCUCUUUUGUAGAUGGAGGUUCGCAUCUUGCUCAGAGAGGUGGGGCGAUUCACCUGAGAGCACACAGCAGAGAUCCUGACUAAUACGCCAAGGCCCAGGGCUGCAUGCCCAGGACUCAGGAAGAGUCUCGAAGAAUCCUCUACACACAAGAACACUGCUAUCCGCCAAAGCUGAUGUCAGCUAUUCCCUGCAGACUGGCCUGGUCCAGCAGAGCCAGCUCUGCUAAACUACUACAGGCAGGAAGAAAAUGAGCCACCAGGGGCCUCCACACUUGUCUCUCAUAAAAGAUAUAUGCUCCACAAGGACAGGGGUUGAGUCUGUCUUGUUCCCUGCUCGAUAAUUGUGUGCUAUGGAUAAGUAAAUGAAUGGAUCAAGAGAUAAGGAUGGAAGAGCAAUUUACAAACCCGAAGCAUUGUGCAAGGCAGGGCAUAAUUGGGUAGGAAUGCUUCUUCUAGAAGUUAUUCCUUAGGAAAGGCCAAACAAAAAGUCUAUUAAUAGACCCGAUUAAUAAACAUCAGCCAAGGUAAAUGUUAACAGGAAGUAUUUCUGCAAAUGUUGGCGGUCUCUCAGGCUGGGCUCAGAGUAGGCUGGCAUGCUGGUGAAGAAGACUUCCUGCCUCCUGUUUGCUCAGAACAUGUUCUCAGGCCUAGGGGAGCCUCCUUCUUGAACCCCAGAAUGGGUGCCACAGUCCCAGGCUUGCCGCAUCCUGGAAGCUCACCCUACUUCAGUAUGCAGUCAGAUCCAGGUACGCAGGGACACAGUGUGCGGUCAGACCCAGGUAUGCAGGGAUGUAGUGUGUGGUCAGACCCAGUUAUGCAGGGAUGCAGUGUGCGGUCAGACCCAGUUAGAUGGUCCUUAAACAUGCCAUGCUGGUUUGCCCCUGGGGGCUUCACUUGUGUUCUUCCGUUGUUCCUCUUUUCCUCACUUCCUUCAGGUUUCUGUAUAAAUGUCACCUCCUCAGAGAGGCCUCAUCUGACCCCACUAAAAAUUAGCAGCCACACAGAGGUAUAAUAUGCUGAGAAAAAUUUAAAAAUAAAAAUAAAAUAAAAUAGCAGCUGCUGUUGCCAUAGUUAUCCAUUAAAAAAAAAUCCCGCCCUUUCGGCCGGAACCGCCAUCUUCCAGUAAUUCGCCAAAAUGACGAACACAAAGGGAAAGAGGAGAGGCACCCGAUAUAUGUUCUCUAGGCCUUUUAGAAAACAUGGAGUUGUUCCUUUGGCCACAUAUAUGCGAAUCUAUAAGAAAGGUGAUAUUGUAGACAUCAAGGGAAUGGGUACUGUUCAAAAAGGAAUGCCCCACAAGUGUUACCAUGGCAAAACUGGGAAGAGUCUACAAUGUUACCCAGCAUGCUGUUGGCAUUGUUGUAAACAAACAAGUUAAGGGCAAGAUUCUUGCCAAGAGAAUUAAUGUGCGUAUUGAGCACAUUAAGCACUCUAAGAGCCGAGAUAGCUUCCUGAAACGUGUGAAGGAAAAUGAUCAGAAAAAGAAAGAAGCCAAAGAGAAAGGUACCUGGGUUCAACUAAAGCGCCAGCCUGCUCCACCCAGAGAAGCACACUUUGUGAGAACCAAUGGGAAGGAGCCUGAGCUGCUGGAACCUAUUCCCUAUGAAUUCAUGGCAUAAUAGGUGUUAAAAAAAAAAAAAUAAAGGACAUCUGGGCUACAAAAAAA